UUUAAUUUAAUUGUUCAGUUUCGUUAUGUUUCUUGCCUUCUUGCUAUGAUUUUUAUUUUCAGUUUAAUUGUUGUUGUGCUUUGUUUUGCAUUCUUGCUUGUUUUUGUUGCCUGAUAAUUGCCACAGUGGUUGUUGUUAUUGUUUUGUUAAUAAUUAGUGCUUUAUUGUUGUCUUGAUUUUCUUUAUACAUAAACUCUGAAUUUGUUUUCGACUAUUUUGUAAUAAAUUAUAUACAAAAUAUUAUGUGAAUUUGUGAAUUUUACAAACAUAGUUCUUAUUAAAUUUGAGUGUAGGAAUUAUUUUAAUGAAUUUAUAAUGAUUUUACAUUAUAUUUAAUUAAAUUGGUCUAAUAACGGUUCGACUCCGGUUGAAUCGUUGAACCAGUGACUUCAGUCUGACUGGUCCGGUUAUUGCAACCUUGUAUUAAUCUAUUGCUGUUGGUCAUAAAACAGGAAUAAAGGGGACUUUCCUUAGAAAAGAUUCUUAAAACCAACUACUUCCCUUCAUAGAGUAUUGUGUCUAAUUAAUGGUCAUAAAUGUCUAUCUACAAAAACCACCAAACAGAGUCGUUGUAUCUAUCCAUGUAAAGAGAGUCGACCGUAGGAAAUAGACUAUUUUAGACAGUUGUAUGGUUGAUCCUUUAAUAAUCAUAAUAGCUCUUUACAGUAUACCCUAAUUCUAUAGAUUUGCCUCUCGUUGGUUUGGUAACCUCCAGAUACUUGGUGUUAAGAUGGGGCUGAUUUCACUAUUGAUUUGUUGAAUAUUAAAUAGGCGAAGCUCAAAGAAGAAGGACAACUUUCUGGCGAUCUGGACUGCUGAAUGCUAAAAGGGAAGUGAAGGAAACAUGCUAGAAGAAGCCAAAUCAAUCAACCUUUCACUAAGUUCACUGGGAAAGUGCAUUAAUGCUCUAGCAGAGAACAGUGCUCAUGUUCCAUUUUGUGAUUCAAAGCUUACCAGGAUGCUUCGAGAUUCCUCUGGAGGCACAGCAAGGACAUCAUUGAUUGUGACCAUUGGCCCAUUUCUACGUCACCAAGGAGAGACUUCUAGCACCAUAUUAUUUGGCCAAAGGAUUCAUUUGCAAGAGGAAGCAGAUCAUGUAAUUGGGUCCUAGACUCUACAACGUCACAUUAGGCUUUGAUUGUGGGCAGGGAUUGAUUUGCCGAUAUUACCAAUGACGUGGAAACUACAUUGGAAAGGAAUGCGUAUACAACUGAUCUUUGAUGCUGUUCGCCCAUCUGAAUAUUUAUUAUUAUUGCAGAUUGACCCGCGCCAUUGCUAUGGACACAUUUUGCACUUCUAUUAUGAUAAAUGGCUUCAGUGCCAAGGCAGAGAACCCUUCUUCUACUGGAUUGACAUUGGAGAAGGAAGAGAAGUAAAUCUCGAGAAGUGCCCGCGUACUAAACUUCAAACUCAGUGUAUCAAAUAUCUUGGUCCGGUUCGCAGUUAAUACAAAUGACUCAUGCAACAUAAUAGCCACCAUCUAUUGAGGUUAACAACAUUAAGAUGGUGACCCACCAUUUCCUCCAUUGUUGGACCUUUUUGCUGGAGUCUUGCACUUUAGUGAUGAUAUACACUCCUGAGGAGCAUCCUGAAGUUAUAAAAUCAUAAUUGUCAUCCUCUAAGUGGUAGUUAGCAAAUAAAACAUAACCAAAAUUUCUCCCAAUAAAUCAUUACAACGUACCAAAGAAGGUUGCAUAUCAGAAUCAGUAUUAAGGUUGACAACACUGCCUGACAUAUCAAUAGAGUUGCUGCAACCAUUUUCCUAUAAAACAAAAUAGAAAUGCCAUUUUUCUAUUCAACUUUUAUAGUACAGAAAACAGCUUGAAGAGCACUCUCUUAUCCAUCAUAUUAUCAAAAGUUGGUGGAUAGUCAUCUUCAGUAGAGACCUACAUUUUGGUGGAUAAUGGGAACAAUGUCCAGGAUGUCCUCUAUUGUUUUCACUGAAGCAUUACCUUGUGUCAGCUCUUCAGCACCUGACCAUGGACCAUGCGAUAAAACCUGACUUAUCCUCACAGAGGAUGAGGUUGCACCUCCGAGCAACCUUCCAGGGUCGACGUACAAUUGGGAAACAUUGAAAUGACUCUGCACUGAUGUCUUUCCAUUCCACCUUGUUGCUUUUAUUAAUUGUAACACGACUAUAAGCGGUUCGACUCUAUCCUCCUCAAGAUGUGGUAGGAUUUGAUCAACCAUGUGGCCAAACAUUGUGCACCCGAUUCGAUUAUUGCUGUGUUAGCAAACCAUAUGAAACUUAUUAAUUGAAAAGAACACUGGAGUUUUUGUAAAACUACACACAAUAUGAUAGAACACGCACUCUAAAUCCUCUAGGACAAUAGCCAAUCGUUUUGUCUCUUUUCCUUUGCUUGUAACCAAAUCCCUAGGAUCUUCUUUUUCAACCACUUCAGCAAUCAGAUCUGCAUAUUUACAAAAUAGUGUUUAAUGUUACCACUCUUUAGUUUUGGUUCAA